rnacentral:rRNA from 1 species
AGAGUUUGAUCAUGGCUCAGGACGAACGCUGGCGGCGUGCCUAAUACAUGCAAGUAGAACGCUGAAGAGAGGAGCUUGCUCUUCUUGGAUGAGUUGCGAACGGGUGAGUAACGCGUAGGUAACCUGCCUUGUAGCGGGGGAUGACUAUUGGAAACGAUAGCUAAUACCGCAUAACAAUGGAUGACACAUGUCAUUUAUUUGAAAGGGGCAAUUGUUCCACUACAAGAUGGACCUGCGUCGUAUUAGCUAGUAGGUGAGGUAAUGGCUCACCUAGGCGACGAUACAUAGCCGACCUGAGAGGGUGAUCGGCCACACUGGGACUGAGACACGGCCCAGACUCCUACGGGAGGCAGCAGUAGGGAAUCUUCGGCAAUGGGGGCAACCCUGACCGAGCAACGCCGCGUGAGUGAAGAAGGUUUUCGGAUCGUAAAGCUCUGUUGUAAGUCAAGAACGGGUGUGAGAGUGGAAAGUUCACACUGUGACGGUAGCUUACCAGAAAGGGACGGCUAACUACGUGCCAGCAGCCGCGGUAAUACGUAGGUCCCGAGCGUUGUCCGGAUUUAUUGGGCGUAAAGCGAGCGCAGGCGGUUUGAUAAGUCUGAGGUUAAAGGCUGUGGCUCAACCAUAGUUCGCUUUGGAAACUGUCAAACUUGAGUGCAGAAGGGGAGAGUGGAAUUCCAUGUGUAGCGGUGAAAUGCGUAGAUAUAUGGAGGAACACCGGUGGCGAAAGCGGCUCUCUGGUCUGUAACUGACGCUGAGGCUCGAAAGCGUGGGGAGCGAACAGGAUUAGAUACCCUGGUAGUCCACGCCGUAAACGAUGAGUGCUAGGUGUUGGAUCCUUUCCGGGAUUCAGUGCCGCAGCU